CGCGGCUCCCCGGAGCACUGCUCCGCCACGUGAUCGGCAACGUGCCCGGAGUGAUCGGGCUGCGGUCCAGGGUACCGGAAGGGGGUGGUGGGUCACCGUUUCAUCAGAAGCCCGAGGACGGGCGCCAGGGGGCAGGGGCAACUUCCUAUAGGAAAGCAUCCCGUUAGAAUGACAGGGCUGUUUGCAAAGGACUGACAGCCGUGGCACAGAGAGUCCCAGAUAUGGAGGGUUUCACAGAUGGGCAGAUCUGAUAAGGGACCACCUGUGAAAUCAUCUAUUGUUGACUUGAACAAUCUGGGGCUAGGGGCAUGAACCCCCUGUGCAGUUGAAAAUCAACAUAGAAUUUUGACUUGCCAAAAACUUCACUACAAUAGCCUGCUGUCAACCUGAAGCCUUACCAAUAACAUCAGCAAUUAACACAUAUUUUGUGUGCUAUAUGUAUUCUAUGCUGUAGUUUUACAAUAAAGUAAGCUGGAGAAAUGAAAAUUUUAAGGAAAUCAUAAGGAAGAGAAAAUAUGUUG